CUGUGGGUGCAGCUCUGGGCUGAGGGCACUUCUCAGCCUCCUCCCAUACUGGAAUGUUUUGACAGAGACCCUGAAGGAGUACCUGAGGGUAGUGAUGAACCUCCAGUAUGAUGAGAAACCACCAUAUGCCGUACUGAGGAACAAUCUCGAAGCCCUGCUGCAGGACCUGCGGGCAUCACCCUACGACCCCCUUGACCUCCACAUAGUGCCUUAGGUGGAAUCCAGAACUUUCAACUAAAGAGUGAAGUAACAUGACUGGAGACCUGCUGUUUGAUCAGAGAAGCUUCUAGCAAAAUCCCACAAAUGUGCAUUCCAGGCAUUUCUUUAGUCCUGUUUAAUACCAGUCCAUCUGAGUGACCCUCCUGGUAAUGUCAGCCUUCCUCCUGCCUCUCCUGUGGUCUCCGGCAGCCAGGGGCUGUGGGCAGUGAGGACAGCAGCCCCCCAGAGGCCCCAUACCUCCCCUUCUCCCCCGUACCACUAGGUUUUAGUAAUAAAUUGUUUUAUUGGAGCUUCCAGA